ACACACUUGCCCUUGCCAUGUGAGUUGAGCUUCUUCCUUUUGCCCGCUGGGUAAAUAGCUGCCUGGCACCGUCGCCUCCUCUUCCUCUCUUCUUCCUAGAUGACGCCUCUGUGCACUUCUCGCAUGAUUUUGACCGGGCGCCUCACCUCAACAGCCAACGCCAACAGCAGCGUAGGGAUCUAUGGUGGGGAAGGAGCAGCUGAUGCGGCGUCGGCGGUGGCACGAGAGGAGCGGCGGCGGCGGCGGCGGCGAGCAGCGAAGAGGCGCCGCUCGGGCGAGACGACGGAGGCGGGAGCGGCUGCUCCGGGCCCCGAUCUUGGGAGGGUACGAGGCACGGAAGGGCGCCGUCGUCGUCGUUCGCCGUCGCAGAUGGUUAGCUACAUGGCGGAGAGCGUUGUGGGCACUUCAUUUGGCAUCGUCUUUCAGGCUAAAUGCUUGGAAACUGGGGAGACGGUGGCCAUUAAGAAGGUACUGCAGCCAGGACCGACGGUCCAAGAACCAUUUGAUGAACCAUUCCAAUGUUGUUCUCCCUCAAGCACUGCUUCUCAACCGCAAGUAGAGAUGAGCUGUUUCUAAACCUUGUCAUGGAGUAUGUCCUAAAGAUACUCUACCGUAUGCUUAAGAACUACAGUAAUGCCAAACAGGGGAUGCCACUUAUCUACGUCAAGCUUUACACCUAUCAGGGGGCUUGUGUAGGUUCAUACUGUUCCUGGAGUCUGCCACAGGGAUGUGAAGCGACAAAAUGUUUGGUGGGCAGGGCCUUUUGAUGGGAAUCAUGUUCAGUAUUCUUGUCCAGGUCUUGCUGUUUGUGGCCAUCACACUGCACACCAUCAGGCAAAAUAAGGCAACGAAGGUGUACAAGUAUACCACAAGGUCAAUGCUAUAUGUGUAUGUAUGUAUGGAUAGGUGCUACUGAAGUGAGAUUCCGAGAAAAUCUGCAUACAAGUAUAUCGCAAGGUCAAUGCUAUAUUAUUCUUAAAUGAGAGUUACACUAGCCGCCAUGUUGACAGGCUGGUAUCUCUUUGUUCCAUUCUAUUGACUUCCUGUGGCAUUAGUAUGAAGCCCUUUGAGCACAAACCUUUCGACUGAAGGACCGUCAUGGGAUUUGGAGUGCUCACUGGCAUCUCAAUUGGGCUUCUCAAUGAGAGUCUAGGUUUCAACUCUGUUGGUUUCUAUCAGGGCAAGUUGAGUGCAUUGGUUGGAUCUAGCUUCUUGAUAUUGCAGAGGACUCGUCAAAAGGCUAGCACUUAUUCUAUAAUGCAUGUCCCUACAUAUUAUAAAGUCAUCCAUUAAUCACACGUGAUGUGUUAGCCUCCCUUUAUAUGUAUCGGAGUUUUCUCUAUCUCACUACAAAAUAGGCAUCAAUGUACUUUUAGACAAGACACUCACAAUCAUGAUUCUAUCUUCAUGUAUGUUCAUUUUAGGCGUUAUCUCUUUUGCCUCCACGGGCGCUCAAACUCUAUCCUAUUGUCGGUUUAUUAUUUAGUUAAAACUGAAGGAGAUUGAGUAGGAGCGCCUCUUUUUAUAUAUACAGAAUAUGGAUUCAACAACCAACUUUAGCGAAGAACAAACCAUCAGCAAGUGUAACCUGGGAUAGGUGUGCACAAAUCCUUGAGAAAAGACAUAAUCACAGUGAAAUGCUACUUUCCAGUGAUUUAUUGUGGUCCUUUGAUUUUUCAGUAGGGAGCUCAAAAGGUUUAUAGGAGAGAGGAAGUUGAUUUUCUUCUUAUCCACAUGCUUGCUAGAUUUACAUUUUUUUCUCUUUCAGUAAUUUGUGUUUCAUGAAAGCUAAUGAUGUUGCAUAGUGUCUUUUUUUACCUGUUCAUUUUAAUUGGGAGAAAGUGUCUCUCUUUCUUGGGAAUUACUAAUUAUAUGGAACAAUAGUCACCUUACAAAGUCCUUCAACUAAAUGUUUUUGUGUGUGCAACUACGAUCAGUUUUCCUAUUCAUUUGUUGUACAGUUUUAUUUUGCAGAAGCAGCAUGGAAGACAACAAGCAAAAAUGUUAAUUAUGAGGACGGCGAAAGACUACAUAUCGUAGUUACCAGAAGUUGGGUGAUCAAAGCAAUCUACAUGAUGCAUCUCUGAGUAUGUAGCUUUGCUUACCGGAAGCUGGGUGAUCAAAGUAAUCUACAUGAUGCAUCUCUACCUAUGUAUCUUUGCUUAGAAUAAACUGAUCUCAUGAUUCUUUUAGCCUAUGAACCUACCAUCAGUGUAAUAUUGGUCUUUAAAUACUUCCAACUUGCA